AACAGCCUCCACGGUAUGUAAAUCUUCUUUUUCUGUAUGAUUGAUUGUAUAGCAUUUUGAAAUAUGUGUAAAGCAUAAAUGUUACUUUAUCUGCAGGUGAUAACAAAAGUCUCAAUAACAAGAUAUGAGAAAUCAUAAAGCAUACAAAGGACGGUGAAAACCUUUAAAGCUUCCCUAUAUAUGUAGAUGUAUGUGACAGAUUGUUCUAUUAUGUUUUUUUUCUUUGAAAGAAGCAAGAAGAGCUGGUCACAUUUUGAGGACAUGAACAACAUUUUGUACGAGUUGAGUCAUAAUGUGCCAACACUCACUGUUUAAAAGAGAACUUUAACGUAGUGGCUAAUACCAUUGUUUAUAUGAUAUAGGUUUCCACUGAGGCCAGGCUACCCGCAGUGGACAGAACUAUGAGAUCCAAAAAGCAAUGAAAAUAGUCUCUGUAGAGUGUAAGAAGGGGCAAGUGAUUGAUGUGCCAGUGAUGGAAGGAGCAGGGAUUCCAUAGCCGAGGACCAUGCACGUAUCGACAAGAACGAGAAUAAGAAUGGUAUUUUUUUUUGCUAGAGGAACCUUUUUCUAACCAUCGCAUGGUAUGUGUUGCAAAAGUAAGCUCAUAAAAUGUAGUACGUUAUUAGCUCUUCACUGUACGGUUUUGGUUUGGGAUAGUGUUCACUUCUGUGUGUCUACAGAGCAAAGAAUAGAAAGAAAAUGCUCCACCUAAUACACCAAACAAGAGACCAUUUAGAUAAAUAUGAAGAGAGAAAUAUAUAAGAACACGUGAAAAUUUAAUCAUAUGUUGUCAUUAGCGUUGCAUACAGCGAAAACGUAUUUGAGAAGAGGGAUGAAUGUGAGGGGAUAAAAGACUAACGAUAGAAUGAUAUACUCAAUGACUUUGACCCCGUGAAGAAAUGUAUAGUAUAUUAUCUCAAUUAUGUAUGUCAUUAUAAUUUGUUCAAUAAUAUUCAUUUUUGUUUCUACAUCACUUGAGAUUCAAAUUAACAAAACAAAUCCACUUUUAAUAUUUCAAAAGACAAUUAUGAGUUACAAGCGAUGUGACUAUAUAUUAUCCAUAUAUAAAUAAAUAAAAAUAUAUAUACUAUAUAUAUAUCCAAUUAUUAUUAAACAAUUUAGAAGCAUUGAAAAGUACAGAAGGCUACAACAUACUUUUAUUUAAAAUACAAUAUAUUAUCCAUUAAUUUAUUUAAAUAACCUAUUCAGCCAAUAAUGCUAAAGUCAGUUGAUAUGGAAUAAGCAAAACUAAUAUAUUUUUAGAAAAUAUUUUUUCUUUAAUAUGCGAAGAAAAUAAUUUUACAUUUAUAGAAUCACAUCAAAUACAUAUUAACAGUCAAAUUAUAUAUAUAUUUAAACUGUUACAUAAAAAAAUAUAAUGUUGAAAAACCACCCCUAAUUAUUGGAUAAUACUUAUCUAUUUAGAAAAAUAAGAGUGUUGGAUAAUACUUAUCUAUUUAAAAAGAUAAGGUUUAUCUUUAAUUUUGUCUUUUCCUUAAGUCCGUUAGUUUUACCGACUUGAAGUCUCUAUAAAUAGGAUCAUAUGAAGUGAAUAAUAAUCAUCUUUUACACUUCACAACUUCCUCUGUCACUCCACUAUCUCUCUCUCGUAAUACAACAUAUAUAUAUAUAUAUAUAUAAUAAAACACUCAACUCUCUUCCUCUCACGUUCAAUCUCUCUCUCUCCUUUUACCACCAAACACAAAUAAAUAAUAUACUCCCACUUUUAUAUUAUACAACACGUUAUCAACACGAGGCUCUGACCAACUGAGAUUUAUCAAUCCGAAAGUUUUUAAACCAGCCGAGAAAGAAUGCCACACUUUGAGACUAUGGAUGGAGAUUUGUGUUUGGCAGAUAGUGCGUCAACACACACGAUAAUCAAAUAUAA